rnacentral:rRNA from 1 species
GAUGAACGCUAGCGGCAGGCUUAAUACAUGCAAGUCAAGGGGGUAGCAAUACAACCGGCGCACGGGUGAGUAACGCGUACACAACAUACCAUAUACUGGAGUAUAGCUUUGGGAAACUGAAGGUAAUCCUCCAUAACAUUGCGAGAGGGCAUCUGAUUGCAAUUAAAGUUUCGGCGGUAUAUGAUUGGUGUGCGUUUGAUUAGCUAGUUGGUAGGGUAACGGCCUACCAAGGCGACGAUCAAUAGCUGGCGUGAGAGCGCGACCAGCCACACUGGAACUGAGACACGGUCCAGACUCCUACGGGAGGCAGCAGUAGGGAAUAUUGGACAAUGGAGGAAACUCUGAUCCAGCCAUGCCGCGUGAUAGAUGAAGGCCCUCUGGGUUGUAAAUAUCUUUUAUCUGGGAAGAAACACUCCUAUUCUUAGGAACUUGACGGUACCAGAGGAAUAAGCACCGGCUAACUCCGUGCCAGCA